GGUUAAGUGAAUAAGGGCGCACGGUGGAUGCCUUGGCACUAGGAGCCGAUGAAGGACGGGACUAACACCGAUAUGCUUUGGGGAGCUGUAAGUAAGCUAUGAUCCAGAGAUUUCCGAAUGGGGGAACCCAAUAUCUUUUAUAGGAUAUUACUUUUCAGUGAAUACAUAGCUGAUUAGAGGUAGACGCAGAGAACUGAAACAUCUUAGUACCUGCAGGAAGAGAAAGAAAAUUCGAUUCCCUGAGUAGCGGCGAGCGAAACGGGAAGAGCCCAAACCAACAAGCUUGCUUGUUGGGGUUGUAGGACUCCAAUAUGGUAGUCUGUUAGUAUAGUUGAAGGAUUUGGAAAAUUCCGCUAAAGAGGGUGAAAGCCCCGUAGACGAAAUGCUAACAACACCUAGGAGGAUCCUGAGUACGGCGGAACACGAGAAAUUCCGUCGGAAUCCGCGGGGACCAUCCCGCAAGGCUAAAUACUCCCUAGUGACCGAUAGUGAACCAGUACCGUGAGGGAAAGGUGAAAAGCACCCCGGAAGGGGAGUGAAAUAGAUCCUGAAACCGUGUGCCUACAACAAGUCAAAGCUCGUUAAUGAGUGAUGGCGUGCCUUUUGUAGAAUGAACCGGCGAGUUACGAUUGCAUGCGAGGUUAAGUCGAAGAGACGGAGCCGCAGCGAAAGCGAGUCUGAAUAGGGCGAAUGAGUAUGUAGUCGUAGACCCGAAACCAUGUGAUCUACCCAUGUCCAGGUUGAAGGUGCGGUAAAACGCACUGGAGGACCGAACCCACGUACGUUGAAAAGUGCGGGGAUGAGGUGUGGGUAGCGGAGAAAUUCCAAACGAACUUGGAGAUAGCUGGUUCUCUCCGAAAUAGCUUUAGGGCUAGCCUCGGAAUUGAGAAUGAUGGAGGUAGAGCACUGUUUGGACUAGGGGCCCAUCUCGGGUUACCGAAUUCAGAUAAACUCCGAAUGCCAUUCAUUUAUAUCCGGGAGUCAGACUGCGAGUGAUAAGAUCCGUAGUCGAAAGGGAAACAGCCCAGACCACCAGCUAAGGUCCCAAAAUAUAUGUUAAGUGGAAAAGGAUGUGGGGUUGCACAGACAACUAGGUAAUAGCUCACUAGUCGAGUGACCCUGCGCCGAAAAUGUACCGGGGCUAAACAUAUUACCGAAGCUGUGGACUACACCAUUAGGUGUAGUGGUAGGAGAGCGUUCUAAGGGCGUUGAAGGUCGAUCGUGAGGACGGCUGGAGCGCUUAGAAGUGAGAAUGCCGGUAUGAGUAGCGAAAGACAGGUGAGAAUCCUGUCCACCGUAUGACUAAGGUUUCCUGGGGAAGGCUCGUCCGCCCAGGGUUAGUCGGGACCUAAGCCGAGGCCGAUAGGCGUAGGCGAUGGACAACAGGUUGAUAUUCCUGUACCAGUUGUUUUUGUUUGAGCAAUGGAGGGACGCAGUAGGCUAAGGAAUGCAUGCGAUUGGAAGUGCAUGUCCAAGCAAUGAGUCUUGAGUAGAGUUAAAUGCUUUACUCUUUAAGGACAAGUUGUGACGGGGAGCGAAAUAAUAGUAGCGAAGUUCCUGAUGUCACACUGCCAAGAAAAGCUUCUAGUGAGAAAAUAACUGCCCGUACCGUAAACCGACACAGGUAGUCGAGGAGAGUAUCCUAAGGUGAGCGAGCGAACUCUCGUUAAGGAACUCGGCAAAAUGACCCCGUAACUUCGGGAGAAGGGGUGCUGACGACCGUCAGCCGCAGUGAAUAGGCCCAAGCGACUGUUUAUCAAAAACACAGGUCUCUGCAAAAUCGUAAGAUGAAGUAUAGGGGCUGACGCCUGCCCGGUGCUGGAAGGUUAAGAGGAUGGGUUAGCUUCGGCGAAGCUCAGAAUUGAAGCCCCAGUAAACGGCGGCCGUAACUAUAACGGUCCUAAGGUAGCGAAAUUCCUUGUCGGGUAAGUUCCGACCCGCACGAAAGGCGUAACGAUUUGGGCAGGUUACCCGCGACAGGACGGAAAGACCCCAUGGAGCUUUACUGUAGUUUGAUAUUGAGUGUUUGUACCACAUGUACAGGAUAGGUAGGAGCCGAUGAGACCGGAACGCUAGUUUCGGAGGAGGCGCUGGUGGGAUACUACCCUUGUGUUAUGAACCCUCUAACCCGCACCACUAAUCGUGGUGGGAGACAGUGUCAGAUGGGCAGUUUGACUGGGGCGGUCGCCUCCUAAAAGGUAACGGAGGCGCCCAAAGGUUCCCUCAGAAUGGUUGGAAAUCAUUCGAAGAGUGUAAAGGCAGAAGGGAGCUUGACUGCGAGACCUACAAGUCGAGCAGGGACGAAAGUCGGGCUUAGUGAUCCGGUGGUUCCGCAUGGAAGGGCCAUCGCUCAACGGAUAAAAGCUACCCUGGGGAUAACAGGCUUAUC
rnacentral:rRNA from 1 species